AAGGUAGCGAAAUUCCUUGUCGGGUAAGUUCCGACCCGCACGAAAGGCGUAACGAUUUGGGCACUGUCUCAACAAUAGACUCGGUGAAAUUGUAAUCCCGGUGAAGAUGCCGGGUACCUGCGACAGGACGGAAAGACCCCAUGGAGCUUUACUGUAGCUUGACGUUGGGUCUUGGUACUACAUGUACAGGAUAGGUGGGAGACUAUGAAGCAUGGACGCCAGUCUGUGUGGAGUCAUCCUUGGGAUACCACCCUUGUAGUACUGGGAUCCUAACCAUAGGCCUUGAAUCAGGUCUUGGAACACCGUCAGGUGGGCAGUUUGACUGGGGCGGUCGCCUCCUAAAAAGUAACGGAGGCGCUCAAAGGUUUCCUCAGCACGGUCGGAAAUCGUGCGAAGAGUGUAAAGGCAAAAAGGAAGCUUGAUUGCAAGACAUACAGGUCGAGCAAGGACGAAAGUCGGACUUAGUGAUCCGGUGGUACCGUAUGGAAGGG
rnacentral:rRNA from 1 species